rnacentral:tmRNA from 1 species
GGGGGUGACCGGCUUUGACGGUCCAGUACUUUGAGAGACGUGCGACGCGGUGGAAGGAUACUGACCACCUAAAAACGUAUUCAACUAAACUUGCCAAGAACUCUCUUGCAAGCGUAAAGUCGCCUUACUUCGGUAAGUCCGAUUUUGCGUUCGCUACCGCGUAAAAGCCUCGCGCUUUCGCCGUAGCGACAUCCUUUCUGUCUCGGUUUUCGUAGCGAGCAGUUAGGGUGGAAUCUUCUACGGAAUCGCCAUUCUGGUUUUCCCAAACCAGAGGUUAAAAGACGGGAUUAGAUUUGAGUUGUUUCGCUGCUGUUUUCAGACUCUUAUCGAAACUUAAAUAGUAGCUAUGCGUCGUAGACUCGCUCUUAAAGCUGGAUUCGGACCGGGAUUCAAUUUCCCGCACCUCCACUA